GACGAACGCUGGCGGCGUGCUUAACACAUGCAAGUCGAACGGAAAGGCCCUGCUUUUGUGGGGUGCUCGAGUGGCGAACGGGUGAGUAACACGUGAGUAACCUGCCCUUGACUUUGGGAUAACUUCAGGAAACUGGGGCUAAUACCGGAUAGGAGCUCCUGCUGCAUGGUGGGGGUUGGAAAGUUUCGGCGGUUGGGGAUGGACUCGCGGCUUAUCAGCUUGUUGGUGGGGUAGUGGCUUACCUAGGCUUUGACGGGUAGCCGGCCUGAGAGGGUGACCGGCCACAUUGGGACUGAGAUACGGCCCAGACUCCUACGGGAGGCAGCAGUGGGGAAUAUUGCACAAUGGGCGGGAGCCUGAUGCAGCAACGCCGCGUGCGGGAUGACGGCCUUCGGGUUGUAAACCGCUUUCGCCUGUGACGAAGCGUGAGUGACGGUAAUGGGUAAAGAAGCACCGGCUAACUACGUG
rnacentral:rRNA from 1 species